rnacentral:rRNA from 1 species
GUCUCAAAGAUUAAGCCAUGCAUGUCUCAGUACAAGCCAAAUUAAGGUGAAACCGCGAAAGGCUCAUUAAAUCAGUUAUGGUUCCUUAGAUCGUACCCACAUUUACUUGGAUAACUGUGGUAAUUCUAGAGCUAAUACAUGCAAACAGAACUCCGACCGGAGACGGAAGGAGUGCUUUUAUUAGAUCAAAACCAAUCGGUGGUGGUCUCCAUCAUCGUAUUAUUUGGUGAUUCUGAAUAACUUUCAGCUGAUCGCACGGUCUCGCACCGGCGACGCAUCUUUCAAAUGUCUGCCUUAUCAACUGUCGAUGGUAGGUUCUGCGCCUACCAUGGUAGUAACGGGUAACGGGGAAUCAGGGUUCGAUUCCGGAGAGGGAGCCUGAGAAACGGCUACCACAUCCAAGGAAGGCAGCAGGCGCGCAAAUUACCCACUCCCGGCACGGGGAGGUAGUGACGAAAAAUAACGAUACGGGACUCAUCCGAGGCCCCGUAAUCGGAAUGAGUACACUCUAAACCCUUUAACGAGGAUCAAUUGGAGGGCAAGUCUGGUGCCAGCAGCCGCGGUAAUUCCAGCUCCAAUAGCGUAUAUUAAAGUUGUUGCGGUUAAAAAGCUCGUAGUCGAAUCUGUGUCCCACGCCGCCGGUUCAUCGUUCGCGGUGUUAACUGGCGUGUCGCGGGACGUCCUGCCGGUGGGCUUAGCUUUCACGGGCGGCCCAACUCAAUCCCGCCGCGGUGCUCUUCAUUGAGUGUCGAGGUGGGCCGGCACGUUUACUUUGAACAAAUUAGAGUGCUUAAAGCAGGCUAAAAUUUCGCCUGAAUAUUAGUGCAUGGAAUAAUGGAAUAGGACCUCGGUUCUAUUUUGUUGGUUUUCGGAACCCCGAGGUAAUGAUUAAUAGGAACGGAUGGGGGCAUUCGUAUUGCGACGUUAGAGGUGAAAUUCUUGGAUCGUCGCAAGACGG